CAAUAGCGUAUAUUAAAGUUGUUGCGGUUAAAAAGCUCGUAGUUGGAUUUCUGCUGAGAACGACCGGUCCGCCCUUUGGGUGUGUAUCUGGCUCUUUCUUGGCAUCUUCUUGGUGAACGUUGCUGCACUUGACUGUGUGGAGCGCUACCCAGGACUUUUACUUUGAGGAAAUUAGAGUGUUUCAAGCAGGCAUCUGCCUUGAAUACUACAGCAUGGAAUAAUAAGAUCGGACCUCGGUUCUUUCUUGUUGGUUCGAAGAACUGAAGUAAUGAUUAACAGGGACGGUCGGGGGCAUUCGUAUUUAACUGUCAGAGGUGAAAUUCUUAGAUUUGUUAAAGACGAACUACUGCGAAAGCAUUUGCCAAGGACGUUCCCAUUAA
rnacentral:rRNA from 1 species